rnacentral:rRNA from 1 species
UCCACGCUGUAAACGAUGAUUACUAGCUGUUGGCGAUAUACAGUCAGUGGCUAAGCGAAAGUGAUAAGUAAUCCACCUGGGGAGUACGAUCGCAAGGUUGAAACUCAAAGGAAUUGACGGGGGCCCGCACAAGCGGAGGAGCAUGUGGUUUAAUUCGAUGAUACGCGAGGAACCUUACCUGGGCUUAAAUGUAGAUUGCAUGAUUUGGAAACAGAUCUUCUCUUCGGAGCUAUUUACAAGGUGCUGCAUGGUUGUCGUCAGCUCGUGCCGUGAGGUGUCGGGUUAAGUCCCAUAACGAGCGCAACCCCUAUCGUUAGUUGCCAGCGGAUAAUGCCGGGGACUCUAGCGAGACUGCCACCGUAAGGUGAGAGGAAGGUGGGGAUGACGUCAAAUCAGCACGGCCCUUACGUCCAGGGCUACAC